AUAUAAACGACUGCAACAAUGUAUCGUAAAUCUAUACGGAUGCUCUUCGACUGCUUGUCGAAGUCCUUUUUGCCCCAGCCGGUAGGUCUCUAGACGUUACAGAGAACCCCAAACAAUCCAAACUGUUAAUCUUCAAUACCGCUUUGUACUUACGAUCUUGUAUCCACUGACUGUCUUGUUAGAUUAACCCAAUAAAUUUCAUUCACUCCGCAUACUCAAUCCUAUAGACACCCUUUUAAUCCUUCAAUCACAGACGUAAC
rnacentral:lncRNA from 1 species